AAUAGUGAGUAUUGACUUUGGUAUCUAGGGUUAUUAAAUAAGUUUUUACAUUUACUUACUAUUGAAUUUGAACCACUAAGUCUCGCCGUAUGAAAGCAAUACUCUAACAACUGAGUUAAGUAGGUUAUUUAUUAUUAUAAAUUAGGGUUAAGUGAGAAGGAUUGGAUUUAUUUGACUUCUUGUUAUUUGUCAUUUUUUUUUUAUAAAAUACAUUAUUAAAUUAUACACCCCAAAUAUUUUGUAUUUAUUAUUUAUUAAUAAUUUAUCUAAAAAUAAUUAAGGCUGAGAUUGAACCAAUGUAAAUUGAACUAAUUCCCCCAAGUAAUUCAUAUAUUGUUUUGAGUUUUGACUUUAAAAAAAAAGAUUUGACCUCAUUUCCUGGUUAACGGUUCUUAUGAAUGAAGCGGUGCUUCUCGUCAAACACCGUCGGCUCCACAUUCUGCUAGGGGUUUUUAAGGUUCUCUAUUUCUUGACCGUUUUCUGCUACAAUUCAAAAAAUUCGAUGAAGCGUUGCUCGUCAAGAACUAGAUGAACUUGAAGCAUUUCACAAACUUAAAGCUAACAGAUCAAAUGAUGAAAGAGUAUGACCAAGGCAAGGGCACCUCUUCCUCUAGAAGCAUGUCUUGCGAGCUCCUCAGUUCUGGAGUAGAUACACUGCUUCUACAGCACUGCCUUGGAAGGCCAAGACAAUGGCACUCAAGUAAGACCUGUGAUCUUUUUUCAUCUUCUAAACUUGAAAUCUCCUCCCUUCCUCUGGCCACAACACAUGCAGAGGCCAGGACAAAAAAGAAAUGAGAGCGCUUGCUUUUGAUGUUGAUAUGGAAGCUGCUCCUAUGGAGAGGCACGAGGUUCUGAAGCUUGCUUUUGAUGUUGAUCAAACAAAAGUCGGUUGCUUUGAUCUCAUUUGGGCUUCCGAGAAGAAAUUGCUGGAAAGGCAUUGAAGGCACUAUAUAUAUAUAUAUAUAGUCAUGAAUGUAUAGGUUUUUAAAUAUGACAAUUAAGGUUUAUAGUUUAUACAUCUAGAUUUUCUUUCAAUGACAUAUUUCUCUAAUGCUGUAUAAUAGAGUGAAUAUAUAUGUGUGUGUAUAUAUAUAUAUCCCGAAUUCUCACACGCGGGAUCCCGUGAAUUUUUUUAAGUGCGGGAUACCUUUUUCA